AUGGAGCCUGUGAUCCGUGGUCGUCCCACGUACCUCGAGGUCCACUACCCCCUUGUCCAGGAUCACAACGCGCUGGUCUGCCUCGUCAACAUUACUCCUGCCAUGCCUGUUUUCCUCCCUUGGCUCAAGCGCGUCUUCCACCAGCGUUUGGGCAUCACGGCGGUGCGCUUCGCUGGCUCCUCUGUUGCCACUGCCUUUGUCGUGUUCCAGAGGGAGACCGAUCAGUUGCGCGCCCUCCGGGCCAGCCCCGUGGACGUGGGGGCUCGCCGGGUUGACAUCCGGCCACACCAUGCGCGGAGCAACUCCUUCUCUUUCGCCUACCGCCACAUUGUUUGCCUCUCCCUGGAGAAAAUGCCGCUUGAGCUCUGGAGCCGGCGUGGCGUGGCAGCCAGCGUCUCGGGCUUCGCCGGCAUCUUUGUCCUGGCCAAGGUGGAGGCGCUCCAGCACAUACCCCACCACAUAUCAUUUCACAAGAUCAACGGCACCGGCCCGGCCUAUGCAGAUGUCUACAUCAAUGAGAUAUGGGAUGUGGCUCGGUCCCUUGGGAAUCCUGCCGCCCCCCCACGCUCAGGCCACCAUCCAUUUGAUGGACGUGUUCACUCGCCGCCGCGGAGCCCUCCUGCAAGGGACCGCACCUGCCGGAAAUCAUCGCAAGGGCUGACUACGGCCGCUGAGCGCGCGCUCCGCGCCUACAAACGCCCCCACCUGGCCUCCUUCAACGACUUCAUGGCGAUGCUGAAGCUAUCUGCCAAGCCCAAGUUCAAGCUCCCGGUGGUCACGGGCAUGCUGGACGUGUCCGACUUCGACGCGGAUUCGGAGUAUGACGGCCACCUCAAGCGCCUGCUGGUCGCCGCGCCCGUGGCUCGGCCUCAUGCGGUCACGUACUUUGACCCAGACCACGCCAAGUUCUUCUUCAAGCUGGAGCUUAGCCUGGGCAGGGUCUUCCAUGGCGCCAUCUCGGUUGGCCCUGCCAGCAGGCUGGAUGACGGCUAUUUCCCCGUCUUCGACCUUUCCAUGGGCAAGCAAUCCCGACAGAGGUGCAACUCCCUUCUUUUCAAGUUCUGGCCAAAAAGUCUCUCGGAUGAUCCGUUCGCUCCUGAGACGAUGUGCAUGUUGGAAAUAACCACGCUGUCUAAGUCCGGCUCGGACUAG
rnacentral:rRNA from 1 species